CCUACGGGGUGCUUCAGUGAGGAAUAUUGGUCAAUGGGCGGGAGCCUGAACCAGCCAAGUCGCGUGAGGGAAGAAGGUACUGAGUAUUGUAAACCUCUUUUGCCAGGGGACAAAGGCGGCCACGGGUGGCCGUAAGAGGGUACCUGGAGAAAAAGCAUCGGCUAACUCCGUGCCAGCAGCCGCGGUAAUACGGAGGAUGCGAGCGUUAUCCGGAUUUAUUGGGUUUAAAGGGUGCGCAGGCGGUCUGUUAAGUCAGCGGUCAAAGCCCGGGGCUCAACCCCGGCCCGCCGUUGAAACUGGCAGUCUCGAGUUGGAGAGAAGUAUGCGGAAUGCGCGGUGUAGCGGUGAAAUGCAUAGAUAUCGCGCAGAACUCCGAUUGCGAAGGCAGCAUGCCGGCUCCACACUGACGCUGAGGCACGAAAGCGUGGGUAUCGAACAGGAUUAGAUACCCGGGUAGUC
rnacentral:rRNA from 1 species